ACACCACCAGUGACCAAGAGGCUCACAGAGAGUGAAGAGAAGUUUUCAUCCUCUCCUCCUCCAGAGUGAUGCAGUGCCUGACUCUUCAGUGGGUCAUCGGCCUGUUGACGGGCUGCAGCAGAGAGUGACGCCGCUGAUGUACAAAGCGCACAACUUUAAGAGACGUUCAGGCAGCCAAACUCAGACCAUAUUGUAGCAGGCUCAUGCACUGGGUUUGACUGCUGGUGGCGUGAUGGAACAUGCCUUGACAUGUUGUGCUGUCUGGAUGAAGCAGACGCAGAGACAGAGAGAGAGAGAGAGAGGCCACAAAGAAAAAGAAGAAGCUGGUGGUCAACUGGAGCUUGUGUGAAGAGACUGCAGCCUGCAUAUUGGAUGGAGGAGCUCUGCCGCUGCCUUGCUCCCUGGUCCUCUACAUCCCAUCACAAAAAGCUGAGAGAAACUACAAACGUCAGCAGCGGCAGACUCCAGGGGUCAGACGGUGCAGCUAAAGCCCGCCAAUUCCAUACUGAGAGGAGGCAGGUGGACAGACGGGUGGAUGGACGGUAGGCCGCGGCUGCUGUGGGUGUUUCUCUGGCAGUGUCUUAGCUGGUUGUUGUGAGGAGUGAGAACGAAGCAAUCAGCAAGUAUACUGCCGCAGAAAUUCUUCGCAAUAAGAAGCCCUGGGAUCAUUCAUCAUUGAGAGGUGGAAAGAUUUUCCACGGCAAAGAAAUUGAAGAGAGAUCGACAGAGCUUGGCCUUUUUUUAUCACCAGCAUUUACAUCUGGAAGAAGCCAUCAAACUUCUCAAUGCUUAAGCUGUACCUCUAUGAUCUUCUGCUGCCAUCUUGUGACUGAAAA